rnacentral:rRNA from 1 species
ACGGGAGGCAGCAGUGGGGGAUAUUGCACAAUGGGGGAAACCCUGAUGCAGCGACGCCGCGUGAGUGAUGAAGUAUUUCGGUAUGUAAAGCUCUAUCAGCAGGGAAGAAAAUGACGGUACCUGACUAAGAAGCACCGGCUAAAUACGUGCCAGCAGCCGCGGUAAUACGUAUGGUGCAAGCGUUAUCCGGAUUUACUGGGUGUAAAGGGAGCGUAGACGGAUGGCUAAGUCUGAUGUGAAAGGUGAGGGCUCAACCCUUAAACUGCAUUGGAAACUGGUCAUCUAGAGUGUCGGAGAGGUAAGUGGAAUUCCUAGUGUAGCGGUGAAAUGCGUAGAUAUUAGGAGGAACACCAGUGGCGAAGGCGGCUUACUGGACUGUAACUGACGUUGAGGCUCGAAAGCGUGGGGAGCAAACAGGAUUAGAUACCCUGGUA